rnacentral:rRNA from 1 species
CAAUAGCGUAUAUUUAAGUUGUUGCAGUUAAAAAGCUCGUAGUUGGAUUUCGGGUGGGACGCAGCGGUCUCGCAUUGCGUUUGUACUGCUGCAGCCCUCCUUCUUGCCGGGGGCGGCCUCUCGGACUUCACUGUCUGGGGGUCAGAAUCGGCGAUGUUACUUUGAGUAAAUUAGAGUGUUCAAAGCAAGCUUACGCUCUGAAUAUAAUAGCAUGGGAUAACACGACAGGACUCUGGCCUAUCGUGUUGGUCUAUAGGACCAGAGUAAUGAUUAAGAGGGACAGUCGGGGGCAUUCGUAUUCCGUUGUCAGGGGUGAAAUUCUUGGAUUUACGGAAGACGAACAUCUGCGAAAGCAUUUGCCAAGGAUGUUUUCAUUGA